GGGUUCAGAAAAGAUUACCUUUUCUGAAGGGUAAAUAGAACGAUAGUCGGGCCGCUAUCU
ncrna:unclassified sequences nhaA-I RNA